UACGGGGGGGGCAAGCGUUGUUCGGAAUUACUGGGCGUAAAGGGCUCGUAGGUGGCCAACUAAGUCAGACGUGAAAUCCCUCGGCUUAACCGGGGAGCUGCGUCUGAUACUGGAUGGCUUGAGUUUGGGAGAGGGAUGCGGAAUUCCAGGUGUAGCGGUGAAAUGCGUAGAUAUCUGGAGGAACACCGGUGGCGAAGACGGCAUCCUGGACCAACACUGACACUGAGGAGCGAAAGCCAGGGGAGCAAACGGG
rnacentral:rRNA from 1 species